rnacentral:rRNA from 1 species
CCUACGGGUGGCAGCAGUGGGGAAUAUUGGGCAAUGGAGGCAACUCUGACCCAGCAACGCCGCGUGAGUGAUGAAGGUCUUCGGAUUGUAAAACUCUUUAAGUGGGGACGAAGAAAGUGACUGUACCCACAGAAUAAGCCUCGGCUAACUACGUGCCAGCAGCCGCGGUAAUACGUAGGGGGCAAGCGUUAUCCGGAUUUACUGGGUGUAAAGGGAGCGUAGACGGCAGUGCAAGUCUGGAGUGAAAGGCGGGGGCUCAACCCCCGGACUGCUCUGGAAACUGUACGGCUGGAGUGCAGGAGAGGUAAGUGGAAUUCCUAGUGUAGCGGUGACAUGCGUAGAUAUUAGGAGGAACACCAGUGGCGAAGGCGGCUUACUGGACUGUAACUGACGUUGAGGCUCGAAAGCGUGGGGAGCAAACAGGAUUAGAUACCCCUGUAGUC